CAGACAUAUCCAUGUAGCUGUGUGUUCCUCGCACGGCUCAGAAGCCCUCUGCAAAGUCUCUGCCAAGCCACAGACAAGUGAUGCCCACAGCCUGACCAUGGGCACCUGGUCUCAUGGUUGAUGCUCAUCCGGACGCUCAUCUGGGGUUCAGUGAGGAAAAGCACUCGUGGUGCAGGAAACAAAAUGGCAGAGGUCUCCUCUACAGCUUGGGCAGGAAGCUGAGCUGCAGACCAAAGGAGGACAGAGGCAGAGCUGUGCUUGGGUCGCCAGCAGGAGAUAAACGCCCGGCCCUCAUGGCACAUGAAACAAGGAGUGGCCCAUCGGUGUGGGACCUGCGGUGGCACAGGGCUGUGUAGCCCAGGCUGGCCUUAUGGUGACCCUCCUGCCUCAGCCUCCCAAGUGCUGAGAUUACAGAGAUGAGCCAUCACCUCCAGCAAGAUCACACCCAAACUGUCACAUGCAGCCCUUGCUGUGCUGCUAUGUUGUUCCAUACUUGUGAACAGGAAGACAGUGAACAGAUUAGAGUUGUCUCCUGAGGAGAAAUGACUGGGUUUCAUCUCAUUCUCAAUAAAUAUACCUAAAACGGUAAUAGCUCAACAUCAUAAUGUCAAUAAAUACUUGUGUGAUUUUUAAAAUAAGUCACGUCAGCAAAUAUUUCCUCCUUUCUGUCUUCUAAAUCUGUAUCAAAGACAAUAUUUCCCCAUUUUAUUGAUCAAAUAUGCUCUAAAAAGUUAAAAUACAUCUCUUUUCUUACUGAAUGCUUCUGUAAGGCAUGUUUAAACGUAACAUGAUAUUUCUGUGUUAUAUUAGUAGAUACGUAAAUUGGGUAAGAGAAAUAUAAAUUAAAGCAAGAGUAAUAUUCCAUUUUUGGCUAUCAGAUUGAAAAAUAUUAAACAGACUGGCUUUGUCAAAUGUUGGGAAAUUGUGAAGACAUAUCUCUCAUAUCCUAUUGGUGGUAACAUAACAGAAACAG